AGCGAACGCUGGCGGCAGGCCUAACACAUGCAAGUCGAACGAACUCUUCGGAGCUAGUGGCGGACGGGUGAGUAACACGUGGGAACGUGCCUUUUGGUUCGGUAUAACUCAGGGAAACUUGUGCUAAUACCGCAUGUGCUCUUCGGGGGAAAGAUUUAUCGCCAUUAGAGCGGCCCGCGUCUGAUUAGCUAGUUGGUGAGGUAACGGCUCAUCAAGGCGACGAUCAGUAGCUGGUCUGAGAGGAUGACCAGCCACACUGGGACUGAGACACGGCCCAGACUCCUACGGGAGGCAGCAGUGGGGAAUCUUGCGCAAUGGGCGAAAGCCUGACGCAGCCAUGCCGCGUGAAUGAUGAAUGUCUUAGGAUUGUAAAAUUCUUUCGCCGGGGACGAUAAUGACGGUACCCUGAGAAAAAGCCCCGGCUAACUUCGUG
rnacentral:rRNA from 1 species